CAGAGAGUAGUUUAUUUAAAAAUUUUAAUUUUGGAGAUUAAGGAUGGGCUAUUAGUUUCUCUCUGA
rnacentral:tRNA from 1 species